rnacentral:rRNA from 1 species
GACGAACGCUGGCGGCGUGCUUAACACAUGCAAGUCGAACGGAAAGGCCCUGCUUUUGUGGGGUGCUCGAGUGGCGAACGGGUGAGUAACACGAGAGUAACCUGCCCUGGACUUUAGGAUAACUUCAGGAAACUGGGUCUAAUACCGGAUAUGAGCUCCUGCUGCAUGGUGGGGGUUGGAAAGUUUAGGCGGUUGGGGAUGGACUCGGGGCUGAUCAGCUUGUUGGUGGGGUAGUGGCUUACCAAGGGAUUGACGGGUAGUCGGCCUGAGAGGGGGAACGGCCACAUUGGGACUGAGGUAGGGCCCAGAGUCGUACGGUGGGCAGCAGUGGGGAGUAUUGCACAGUGGGCGGAAGCGUAAUGAGGCAACGCCGGGGGCGGGAUGACGGCCUUCGGGGUGUAAACCGCUUCCGCCUAUGACGCAGCGUGAGUGACGGUAAUGGGUAAAGAAGCACCGGCUAACUACGUG